CCGCCCGCUUGCAGUUGUCAUGGU
rnacentral:miRNA from 1 species